CCCUGGCUUUGAGCCCUUUGGAGUUUCUAAUCUGCUCCACGAUUACAAUUUUGGGCACUAUUGUAAACUUCACUUAAUCUUCAGUAAACUGCAUAUGAGGAGAGAUAAGUGAUGUAGUGACUAGAAACAGUGGGUAAAAGGAAAAGACGAGGUGGAUGAGACCAGGUUACAGAGCUGAUUAAUAGAUUUAAAGAAAAGUAUGUCAUGGACAACAAAAAUGUGUGAUUGGAGUGAUAAAACUUCACAUCCUACUGUAUCUCCUGGCUACCGUGUGCAGCUUCUCUGGGUACUGCUGUCAGGGUGGACAAAGCAGGGGAAGAAAAUUCUAUUUGAAUUAACGUUUCCAUCAGCAAAUCCAUUGCAACAGUUACCGUUCAGCUGAGGAAAUCGCAAACUACAGUUCCAGGACCUCAACCCUGACCAAACUUCCAUUCCGGUGUAAGCGUAGUAUAUGGUGACACUGUCAGUUCUAAUUCAGUUGGUUGGAUGAAGAAGCUCUACUGUCUUUACCCAGAGACUCUGCUGUUACCCAAGCUUCUGUAUGGAAUAUUUUUUAAUGUAGCCUGAAUGGCAGUAAAAUUCUGCAUUGGAAAGUGAUCAAUCUGGAUUGAUUACUGCUGAAAGGGUGUCUCUUAUGAACCUGAAAAGUCAGUGUUUGACAGAUGAUUAAUGAAAAAGAACAAAGGGUUGGACUGUGUCUGGCCCUGGAGGUGUGAAAUCCAGCAAGCAGGUCUGAAGAAAAUGCAGUCCCAGUCCACCUCCUGAAUAGUCCAGGCACCCAUGUGGGGCUAGCCACUGGUGCUCAUGCUGCCAGAAUUAAGUACUUCAUAACCCAUGGUGACUUACAAAUGCUGCAACUUCUACAGAGCAAACCAGAAUGUUUUGUUUGUACCCUGUCCAAUCUGAGGGACUGCUUUCUUCUGUGGCUGUGAGGGCUAGAAACCUAAAAACCAAGCAGAAUCUGGUGGCAGAAGAUGUUCCCUAUGUAAUUGUAGGUCUAAAAUUUCUUAGGAAAGAGAAAUGAUAGCGUGAGUUGACAAGGAUGCGUGCCACAAGCUGCAAGAGGAAGGAGGAGUAGUGCCCUCCUAUCUUGCAGAGCCAGAAGAGAGAGCAGGUUUGACUGGUAACAGCUGUGUUCCUCCUGAGCACUGUGAUACUCAUUAGCACGUUAGCCUUGCAUCCAGGUGGUAGAAAGCUUAAAUGAAUUUCAAUGAGUCUCAUUAAACUUAAAUGGGUCUCAAGUUUUAGUCAUGUGGAGUGCAUCCUUGCUGUUGCUAAUGUAGACACUGUCUUGGUAGAGUAAUUUAUUCUGGCAAAUAGUGCUGUCAUACGUGUCAGAGGAAUGAUCAUAGGAUACACAGGUAAUCUGAGACUAGUAAGAAAAUACACAGGAAAUUUUGAAAUUGUUGAUUGUCAUAGACCCUGCGGGAUUUUCCAGCAACUAAUGAUAUAAAAAUAUAGUUUCUCUAGAACAUUGAAUUGUAUACCCUACUCCAUACUAUGAAAUGUUUUACAGUAAUAAGGAAGGUUAUUUCAGAGAUCUUGCGCUACUAGAAAUUGUGUUUGCCUGUAAUACCAGUCAAAGCUAAUGCUUCUACUUCAUGGCCCCAACUGCUGGGAGGUGGGAAUAAAUCUUAAGGAAGUCUGAUAGUAAACCCUUGGGCCCAUGAUUAACUCUCAUCAUUUAGUCUGAUCGUGUGUGAAGUCAAGAAGAAGCUCUCCCCAAGUACUGGCAGGGAUAAACACAUACUACAAAUGAAAAAGAAAUAGGAAGCAGCACAAUUGUGCAUUGGAAGAAAUAAACAAAGAAAUGUCAAGUUGUUCGUGUCAAAGAAAGGGCAGCUUAUUCAAAGUUACCAAAAAGCUAAAUUGCAGCCCAAACAAUGUAUUUUCCAUUUUUUUAAAGUUGAAAACAAGAAUCCUUAAAACCUGUAAACUCUUGACUUCAAUGUAAACCCUUGAGAAGCCAUCUUGAUAAGUAUACUCCAGUUUGUAGGCUUGAUCAUGUUGUGCAAUUUUUGUCAUUACAUUUAUAUUAAUAAUUAGCAUUUAUAUGUUGUUAAAUUAUUGUCACGUGCAUAAAUAUUAAAAGCAUAAAAUCUUCAUUCUCCUUUUCCAGUAGUUAAAAAUUUACUUUGUAAAGAUAUGAUUCAUUUUGGGACAGCCUUUCAUAACAUAACUACAAAGAGAUAACCACAGAACAAAGAAGUUAAAGCUGUUUAAGAGGUAAAAGAUCUACAUUAUUAUUUUCCCAAUUAUGACAUAAUUUACAGGAUCAUGUAAAAUUGUGCUCCAGCAGUCACUUCUGGAGAGAGGUAAGGAUCUUUUAGUGCCUGUGGAUAGCUUUAAUAGCAGAAUUGGGUCACAUCUAUGGUGUUAAUAAUGUUAAUAAAGAUUAACAAGCAAACUCGUGGAUUAAAAAGAAAAAUUCUAAAACCGUAUCUGUUUAAAAACCAGAAUGUUGAAGCUGGAGGGUGGGAGUCUUUUUUUUGUGUUCUAUCCUUUAGGUAUAUCCUUAACCGGAUUUCAAAUUUACCUUUGCCGCCAUAAAGGCUGAAAGUUUUGUUAAUAUGAAAGCUGAGACCGGAGAACAUUUUAUCUGAUCCUUUUCCCAUAGCAUUUCUCAGUUAAGGGUUUACUGUCAAGUAACAUCAUCAAAAGCCAACUGCAGUUCAAAACUAUGAUGAUAUUUCAAUUUGUUGGAGUACAAGCCUAUAUCUUUUGCAUAGAAUGAGCUCUGCAGGAAGUCAGGAAAACAUUUAAACCCCAAACCCAUAUGUAAUUUUACUCAUUUUAUU